rnacentral:rRNA from 1 species
CCUACGGGUGGCAGCAGUAGGGAAUAUUGCUCAAUGGGGGAAACCCUGAAGCAGCAACGCCGCGUGGAGGAUGAAGGUUUUCGGAUUGUAAACUCCUUUUAUCAGAGAAGAUAAUGACGGUAUCUAACGAAUAAGCACCGGCUAACGCCGUGCCAGCAACCGCGGUAAUACGGAGGGUGCAAGCGUUACUCGGAAUCACUGGGCGGAAAGAGCGCGUAGGCGGGAUAGCAAGUCAGAUGUGAAAUCCUUUGGCUUAACCAAAGAACUGCAUUUGACACUGUGAUUCUGGAGUAUGGGAGAGGUAGGUGGAAUUCUUGGUGUAGGGGUGAAAUCCGUAGAGAUCGAGAGGAAUA